rnacentral:rRNA from 1 species
AACGCUGGCGGGAGGCCUAACACAUGCAAGUCGAACGGUAACAGGAAGCAGCUUGCUGCUUUGCUGACGAGUGGCGGACGGGUGAGUAAUGUCUGGGAAACUGCCUGAUGGAGGGGGAUAACUACUGGAAACGGUAGCUAAUACCGCAUAACGUCGCAAGACCAAAGUGGGGGACCUUCGGGCCUCAUGCCAUCAGAUGUGCCCAGAUGGGAUUAGCUAGUAGGUGGGGUAACGGCUCACCUAGGCGACGAUCCCUAGCUGGUCUGAGAGGAUGACCAGCCACACUGGAACUGAGACACGGUCCAGACUCCUACGGGAGGCAGCAGUGGGGAAUAUUGCACAAUGGGCGCAAGCCUGAUGCAGCCAUGCCGCGUGUAUGAAGAAGGCCUUCGGGUUGUAAAGUACUUUCAGCGAGGAGGAAGGGGUUAAGGUUAAUAACCUUGGCCAUUGACGUUACUCGCAGAAGAAGCACCGGCUAACUCCGUGCCAGCAGCCGCGGUAAUACGGAGGGUGCAAGCGUUAAUCGGAAUUACUGGGCGUAAAGCGCACGCAGGCGGUCUGUCAAGUCGGAUGUGAAAUCCCCGGGCUCAACCUGGGAACUGCAUCCGAAACUGGCAGGCUUGAGUCUCGUAGAGGGGGGUAGAAUUCCAGGUGUAGCGGUGAAAUGCGUAGAGAUCUGGAGGAAUACCGGUGGCGAAGGCGGCCCCCUGGACGAAAACUGACGCUCAGGUGCGAAAGCGUGGGGAGCAAACAGGAUUAGAUACCCUGUAGUCCACGCCGUAAACGAUGUCGACUUGGAGGUUGUGCCCUUGAGGCGUGGCUUCCGGAGCUAACGCGUUAAUUCGACCGCCUGGGGAGUACGGCCGCAAGGUUAAAACUCAAAUGAAUUGACGGGGGCCCGCACAAGCGGUGGAGCAUGUGGUUUAAUUCGAUGCAACGCGAAGAACUUACCUGGUCUUGACAUCCAGAGAAUCCUGCAGAGAUGCGGGAGUGCCUUCGGGAACUUAAAACAGGUGCGGCGUGGCUGUCGUCAGCUCGUGUUGUGAAAUGUUGGGUUAAGUCCCGCAACGAGCGCAACCCUUAUCCUUUGUUGCCAGCACAUCAGGGUGGAA